GCGCCAGAGUGGUUCACAUUCAACCCUCCUCCCCCAGUGCAGAGAGCUCCCACGACUGAUGACUCCUGAAGGAAAACCCUGGAGGUUCAGCUUUAGCUUGAGGUUUCAGGUCUUGGAAGAAGACUUCAGAUGAAUAAUGGAGCCCUCAAGAAUAGACAAAAAUGGAAGGACGUUUGCCAAUUAUACUUCCUUGAUGAGGAUAUUAGUGCAGGUUAAUUUGCAAUAAGUACAUACCUAUUAUGUGUAGGUCUUCAUGGGAGACCCAAUGGAUGACAUACAAACUAAAAAACCUAAGCUUCUCUAUUGAGUUUAUAAUAUUGAUCCAUAACAUAUAUAAAAUGUGAGAGUCAAGUUUAUUUCAUAUGCUUAAAUAAAAAUCAUUGGACAGUUUAA